CCUUCACACGUUCCUGGCGUCUGCUUCACGUCUGCGCCCGUCCCGCCCGCCGCUAACGGCUCCCUCUGGUACCCGACCGGCCCCUCCUCCACCCGGCCACAGAGGCACACACAGAGAGACUCUACCCCAGCCAGGCAGCCAGCUCGCGCGCAGAUGGGCCGUGGAGUUCGGGAGUGACAGGAUCUUCUUGACUAGAUCUAGUGUCUACUACUACAACUGCUACCCUCCGACACACACCACCACUACAACUUGCUAUUUAGGACCAAGUUUUAGAGCUGCUUCAGUCGGACCAUAGGUAUCCACCACUAUAGAGGUUUCAUCGUCUUAACCAUCGAUUUCAUCGUCUCAACGAUUGAUUUCAUCGUCUCUACCAUUGAUUUCCUGGGGCUGCCCGAUUGAUUUGUUGGUGUGAAUGUUGUGUCCUCGGUGUUCAUGUCAUGUGUGUUUGUGUGUGGCGUGAGGGCAGGGAGAUUGCCUGUGUAUCCGCGCGCUGAUCGUUCUGUGAUUGCUGAUUGUGACAGGCAUCGUCAGGGGUCAGUCCAUCAACUCGUGCCUGCCCGGGGCUGACCACACAACGCGUUGAGCCGGCGACCUGGGCUUCUGUCCGCGGUGACGUAGGACAGGCUGGACAGACCAGGGCCUGGAGUCGCCAUCCCAGAACCGUGGAACGUCUGUCCCAAGAUUGGAACAUCUGUCCUGAGAUUGGAAGUCUCUGUGGUUUAUUUCUUGUGUCCAGUUGAACACAUGUGUGGUUUAUAAUUUCUUGUGUCCAGUUGAACACAUGUGUGGUUUAUAAUUAUCUUGUGUCCAGUUGAACACAUGUGUGGUUUAUAAAUAUCUUGUGUCCAGUUGAACUCAUCUGUGGUUUAUUUCUUGUAUGGACUACCGUUUUUUUCCUUCCCGGAGUACUGGCUGUGUGUGACGUCAUUGUCUACGUAACCUACUGGCUUGGAGAUUUAGCUGUGUAUUUCUGCUCAGGCCUGACUAUGCUGAACAGAGUCACUGUUGGGGAGUGACCGCGUGACCGUCUGUGUUCCAGUGCUGGUGUCACGUGACACAGCCUCUCUCCCCCCCCCCCCCCCCCCCCCACCCGGCCACAGCUGGGCCGUGCCAUGGCCCCACUGGACAACCGUGCGUCACCACCACAGCUUCUGACGUCACGACAACCACCUCUGACGUCACGGAGAACACGGGUGCUAGCCUGAGAUUGUAGAAAAGCAAACAAACACACACACACAAAAACAAACACACACACACACGAACGGGACAGGCGGAUACACCAACAAGGUGUGCACCUAUCCCAGCACUAUGGGCAGCUACACAAGUGUGGCGUGCCUGGUUGCCAUGGCGACCGUGUGUGUCCUGGUGGGUGAGUGCGGCGCUGGGCUGGUGGUGCGCGUGCGUGACCUUGAGGUGUCCGUGGGCCGGUCAGUGUACGUGAGCAGUGAGGACCUGGUGGUGCAGAGUGUGAGGCGCGGAGAGAGCUGCCGUGUGGAGGUCCUACAAGGGGACCCGGUCAGCCAGAGAGUGGGUCGUCUACAG